AUGUCUCUUUGGAAUAGUAUAAGGAGUCUGGCCUGCCCGGUGACAUGGUUUAACGGCUGCAGUAUCCUGACUGUGCAAAGGUAGCAUAAUAAUUUGCCUUUUAAUUGGAGGAUAGAAUCAACGGCUUGACGAGAGCAAGACUGUCUUUUUUGUUUUUAUUAAAAUUUAUCUUUUAAGUUAAAAGGCUUAGAUGUGACUAAAAGACGAUAAGACCCUAUUGAGCUUUAAAAAAGCAAAAUAAUUAUUCAUUAUUAACUAAAUUGAAAAUGAUUUUGGAAAAUUUUGGUUGGGGCGACUGCGGAGUAUAAAAAACCUCCGGAUUAGGAAAUUAAUUUCUAUUUUUGAUCCAUAAUUUGUGAUAAGUGGAAUUAGUUACCAUAGGGAUAACAGCGCACUACUUUUAAGAAGACCAUAUUUUUAAAAGAGAUUGCGACCUCGAUGUUGGAUUAAAGUAUACUAAAAGGCGCAGAAGCUUUUUGAGUUAGUCUGUUCGACUAUUAAAUCUUU
rnacentral:rRNA from 1 species